UGGCAAUUGGCUAGCUUUUUUCUCGAGCUCAACGGUGAAACAAACACCAAGUGCCAGCACAAAAAAGAAUUCCCCGGUGGGAAAAUAACGGUUAGUCAGGGAGGGGCAGGACCGGUGCCAGCCGCCCCGGAAACACCCGGGCCACGAGUGGGGGCGGCUAUUAUUGGGCCUAAAGGGGCCGUGGCCUGCCGAGAAAACUUUUUGUGAAAUUGUUAAGCUCACCUUAACAACGUCCAGAAAAACUUCCUCGAUUUGGGACCGGGGGGAGUCAAAGUUAUUUCUGGGGGGGCGGAAAUUGUUUAUUCCCCGGAGGACCCCUAUGGGGAAGGAUUUUGACCAUAACGGAUCCGAGUGGAGGGACGAAAGCUAGGGGAGCGAUCCGGAUUAGAUCCUUCUUUUGGAAAGGGAAAGGUGGGCAAAAAAACCAGCUGGGGCAACAUUCAAAUGGGAAGUUGCCAAACAUCAAAGUUUAGAUCUUAACCAUUCUCCGGAACUAGAUGUUAUAUUAACGCCGAAAAGGGCAAAUUACCGGAGAGCCCUCGCAGAAACCUCUGCGGUUAAGGUGUGGUGCACCUUAAAGUUUCACAGUAUCGUAGCGAGGGGUUAAACUCCCCCCCUGGGAAGUACGUUCGCAGGGUGGAAACUAAAGAAAUUGGGGGGGAAGGGGGAAUUCUUUAACACGCAGACUAGUCCCUUUUUGGGGUUAAUUUUGACUGGGGAUUCAGGGCAUAGUUGUUCCUGGA
rnacentral:rRNA from 1 species